rnacentral:rRNA from 1 species
UGGGGAAUUUUGCACAAUGGGGGAAACCCUGAUGCAGCGACGCCGCGUGAUUUAGAAGGCCUUCGGGUUGUAAAAAUCUUUUCUAUGGGAAGAAAAUGACAGUACCAUAGGAAUAAGGACUGGCUAAUUACGUGCCAGCAGCCGCGGUAAUACGUAAGGUCCGAGCGUUGUCCGGAAUCAUUGUGCGUAAAGGGUACGUAGGCGGGUAAGCAAGUUAGAAGUGAAAUCCUAUAGCUCAACUAUAGUAAGCUUUUAAAACUGCUCAUCUUGAGGUAUGGAAGGGAAAGUGGAAUUCCUAGUGUAGCGGUGAAAUGCGCAGAUAUUAGGAGGAAUACCGGUGGCGAAGGCGACUUUCUGGCCAUAACCUGACGCUGAGGUACGAAAGCGUGGGUAGCAAACAGG